GACGAACGCUGGCGGCGUGCUUAACACAUGCAAGUCGAACGGAAAGGCCCUGCUUUUGCGGGGUUCUUGAGUGCCGAACGGGUGUGUAACACGUGAGUAACCUGCCCUUGACUUUGGGAUAACUUCUGGAAACAGGGUCUAAUACCCGAUAGGAUCUCCUGCUGCAUGGUGGUGGUUGGAGAGUUUCGGCGGUUGGGGAUAGACUCGCGGGUUAUCAGCUUGUUAGUGGGGUAGUGGCUUACAAAGGCUUUGACGGCUAGCCGGCCUGAGAGGGGGAACGGGCACCUGGGGCCUGAGGGACGGCGCAGAAGCCUAUGUGAGGCAGCAGGGGGGAAUAUGGCAGAAUGGGGGGAAGCGUGAGGCAGAAAUGCUGCGUGCGGGAUGACGGCUUACGGGGGGUAAACAGCUUUCGAAGGAGAUGAAGCGUGAGUGACGGUAAUGGGUAAAGAAGCACCGGCUAACUACGUG
rnacentral:rRNA from 1 species